GACGAACGCUGGCGGCGUGCCUAAUACAUGCAAGUCGAGCGAACAGAAAAGGAGCUUGCUCCUUUGACGUUAGCGGCGGACGGGUGAGUAACACGUGGGCAACCUACCCUAUAGUUUGGGAUAACUCCGGGAAACCGGGGCUAAUACCGAAUAAUCUCUUUUGCUUCAUGGUGAAAGACUGAAAGACGGUUUCGGCUGUCGCUAUAGGAUGGGCCCGCGGCGCAUUAGCUAGUUGGUGAGGUAACGGCUCACCAAGGCGACGAUGCGUAGCCGACCUGAGAGGGUGAUCGGCCACACUGGGACUGAGACACGGCCCAGACUCCUACGGGAGGCAGCAGUAGGGAAUCUUCCACAAUGGGCGAAAGCCUGAUGGAGCAACGCCGCGUGAGUGAAGAAGGUUUUCGGAUCGUAAAACUCUGUUGUAAGGGAAGAACAAGUACAGUAGUAACUGGCUGUACCUUGACGGUACCUUAUUAGAAAGCCACGGCUAACUACGUGCCAGCAGCCGCAGUAA
rnacentral:rRNA from 1 species